rnacentral:rRNA from 1 species
AUACGGAGGGUGCAAGCGUUACUCGGAAUCACUGGGCGUAAAGCGCGCGCAGGCGGCUAUUUAAGUUGGAUGUGAAAGCCUAUGGCUCAACCAUAGAACUGCAUCCAAAACUAUUUAGCUAGAGUGUGGGAGAGGAAGAUGGAAUUAGUUGUGUAGGGGUAAAAUACGUAGAGAUAACUAGGAAUACCAAAAGCGAAGGCAAUCUUCUGGAACACUACUGACGCUGAGGCGCGAAAGCGUGGGGAGCAAACAGGAUUAGAAACCCUAGUAGUCC